GCCCGGUUAGCUCAGCCGGUAGAGCCUUGGACUUUUAAUCCAAAGGCCAAGGUUUCAAGUCCCUUAUCGGGCU
rnacentral:tRNA from 1 species